rnacentral:rRNA from 1 species
AUGCACGCUGGCGGCGUGCCUCAUACCUGCCAGUCGAGCGAACAGACGAGGAGCUUGCUCCUCUGACGUUAGCGGCGGACGGGUGAGUAACACGUGGAUAACCUACCUAUAAGACUGGGAUAACUUCGGGAAACCGGAGCUAAUACCGGAUAAUAUAUUGAACCGCAUGGUUCAAUAGUGAAAGACGGUUUUGCUGUCACUUAUAGAUGGAUCCGCGCCGCAUUAGCUAGUUGGUAAGGUAACGGCUUACCAAGGCAACGAUGCGUAGCCGACCUGAGAGGGUGAUCGGCCACACUGGUACUGAGACACGGUCCAGACUCCUACGGGAGGCAGCAGUAGGGACUCUUCCGCAAUGGGCGAAAGCCUGACGGAGCAACGCCGCGUGAGUGAUGAAGGUCUUCGGAUCGUAAAACUCUGUUAUUAGGGAAGAACAAAUGUGUAAGUAACUAUGCACGUCUUGACGGUACCUAAUCAGAAAGCCACGGCUAACUACGUG